GCGGAUCCAGCCAUGGGCCCAGAGAUCCGAGGCCCAGGGUCCCUCCCUCCUUGUUUGCUUACUGCUGCGUCUUUCAAUGAGCUUCAUGAGAUAAAGGGAGAACGUAGAGCAGGUCCCAUCUGGACUUCAUCACCAGGGGCAGAAACUGGCAUCGGAUCAAGUUGCUCGUUAUUCUGAUGCCCUGCAGGUUUGAUCGCGGUACACCUACAAAUCAGUUCCUUUCUUUCUCCUUCCAAAUAAUCAAAAAUAAAUAAAAAAAAAUAGAAAAUGCUUCUGAAUACAGUUGUUCCCAGCAACCUUUUUGAAGUAUUUGCUGAUCUCUCUGACGUUAGCUUGCGCACGACGACGACGCGCGCGCCCGGUCGCUCGUUUCUUUGUCAACAGCUUCCCUUUUAUGAGCAUUUCCAAGGCCCGUGACGACGUUCUCACGGAGGUUUUGGAUGCUCCUCCGCUCCUGCUAUGCUCGUGGAUUUCCUUUCACGUCUGAGAGAAGCCGCUGCAGACUGAGGACGUCAGCGCUAAAACAGCCUCUGUCUCCUAUUCCUAAAACAGAUGUUUCUGUCUGUGGAAAAUUUCGAGAGCAUGACUCUGCAGUUUGUCCCCGUUCCAAAUGAGACCGAGCGAAAGUGAAAAUAUGUGCGUGGCUAAUAUUGACGUUUCCCUGUUGCCGGUGUGAUUCUACCAUUUGGAGUACGGGGAAACGUUUAACCCACUUUUAGGAGCUGGCAUCAGACGGAGGACACUGACCUACAGUAGCCAGAUAUGAUCAGGAUGGUGAUUAGCAGUGAAAACAGGGGCGGGGAACCGGUGGUAGAAAGCAAGACUCCUAAGGCUUCCUAGUUUCAUUAGCAGAUAAAAUGGACUAGAAAGUGUCCACUUAAAUGUUUACUGGAACAAUCUCUCUUUUGAAAUAUAGAGAUACUUUUGGAAAGUUACUCCCCUCUCCCCCCUCCCAGGGUUAAACUCAUCAGGCUCAGAGAGUUGCAGAAAGGAGGGGGGGGGGCUGCUGUGCAAGGCAAGGGGUUGAGGCGUGAGAGGGGGAUAUUAAGUAGCUAAAGCUUGACACCCCACCAAAGAUGGGUAAAGACCAAGGGGGCGGCGAGUCCAACGGUUUACCAACAUACAGGGACGGGUGGGGCGCUGCUCCCUCUUCCUGCCACAUGACCCUCUUAAAUAUAGUCUCCCACUAAUAAUACCGACAUCAGCGCGGCGCGGCCCUACCCUACCCUACGGUUCCUUCAGGCGUCAGUGCCAGCUAUUUCUCAUGUGUUCUUUUCUUUCUUAAAGGCAAAGAAAUGAACCCCCGGGAGAUCAAGAGAUGGAUAACUCUCCUACCAGGAGAGACGGAGAGAGAAUUGGAUCGGGGCGAAAUGCAAAGUUGCAAAAAACAAGUAAAACGAGAGGAAGCAGCGUUUUAGAGUUAUAUGUACGGUGUAUGUUACAGUUUACAGCCUCCCCCAGCUUCCCUCUUCGCCCCCCCGUGAGAACGGCUUUGGGACGCCUCCAAAGGAUAUUCCCUUUCUUCUCUUUGGCUGCGCCAGGAGUUUACAGACACGAGGCAGCGGAGCUCCCGCUAUUACAUCACUUUUUUUUCCCCCCCUCUCACGCCAGAACAUCAAACGCUUCCUGUUGUCUGGACUCAGCAGCAGGCGAUAGAUAAUAUGAAAACAGUUCAGGAGUAUAACAAAGGCAGGAGAGGUGUUCGUUUAAAAAGAAAACUACAUUUGUCAUAAAAAAUAUGGCUUACAAAAAAGGAAUACUGUUAAAAUCAGCUUGAGACAAGAGUGAUUAUUUGGGGUUUUUGUGUCUGUUUUUUGCUUUCAAGAAAAAAAAAAAGAGAUUUCAACAUAAAAAAAACACAUCAGAUAAAUAAAUGAGUAAAAACCUAUUAUCCAAACCCAUUUCCCUUCCAUUUCAACCCACGAUACGCAUUAUUAUUAGAUCGGCAUAGGUUAAAGCAGACAAAGAGUGGUGUAAUGCCGGGCACAUAGAGGCAGAGGCACACAGAGGGGGGGGACAACGUGUGCUAACGGCAGGACUGUGAUAAAGAGUACACUUACUUGCACGUGUGAAAGAGCAGAGAGGGCCGGCAAGGGCCAGCAGGAGCAGCAGAUGAACUUUCAUUGUGGCGGGAAGUUCUUCUACGCACUUUUCCCCUGCCAAAAAAAAAAA